AAAAAGCCACGCCAAAGAGACAACGGCGCCGUCACGUCGUUCAACACAGACUAUUGCCGCCACGGUGGGCGUUUUGCUGGCAUCCGUCUUCGGCCUACUUCUGGCUUCUGCCAAGCUCAUGCAGUGCCCACAGGGAAGCAUCCGUGGCGAUGCUGAAGGAAACACAAGACGGAGACUUGCAGAAGGCGGUUCUAGCGGCGAAAAAUGUGUAAGCUAGGUUCCCAGAGCAACAGGAUGCAGGUAGUGUGUUCAUCCUUUUCAGUGAGAACAGGACUCGUCCUUACCAACCCUCCAACGCUCCAGGGCGACCCUUCGACAAUUUGCACCCAGCAUCUACAGCAAAAAUAACUGUUCAUACCAACUGGAUUUCAAGAUUCUCCCCCAGCAGUGCGGUUUUCUCGGUCAACUUCAUCUCCGGCAGCAAACCGAAACGCCAUCCAGGUCUCGUGUACAACGUAACCUAUAUCAGACGUAUUGCAUGUCUUCUCCUUCUUUAUUUGACUGGCAAGAUGGUGAAUCCGUUUUCGGCCGCCGCUCUGGUGUGCUUCACCCUUUUUUUGUAUGAGGGUCUCGGUUGUUGUACCGGUAGUCGAGCAAUAGUGACCGAGGUGUUGGAAUCUGUACCGGCAAUAAACGAGACGAAUGUCAAGAAUGGAGAAACCGCAGUCUCAAGCUCAGCCAGACUGGUUACAGGGAACCAGCUAGGCGGACGCGGUGGAGGCGGCUUGAAGAAAUCAGGGAG
rnacentral:lncRNA from 1 species